UCCGAAUGCAACUUUCACUUGGAGCUCAGUGCUUUCCACUAACUCCGCCCCCCCCCCCAUGUUUCUCUGCAGAUUGCAGAACAGCUACACCGCCUCACAGAGAACCAAUCAGGAUCUGGAGGAGAAGCUGCACACGCUGGUAUUUAACCCAUUCCUUUUAUUUUAUUUUUAAUGUUGAUAGUAGAAUUGUGCAGUCAUGUUGAUCUCUAGACUGGAGCCACGAGCCAACCAUCUUAUUAUUUCACUUGGUGACUAAGUAGACAGCCUACAGCGUAUAUCAACGUUUUACACCUUCCUGCCCUAAAGUAAAGAUUGGACUCCACCAACUGCUGUUUGAAAGUGGUGGAAACUGGAAUUGUCAGUGGUGGUGGUCAUAACCUGUUGCUUUAAGAAAUAUACAUGGCUGCAAGCCAUCCAACACUGAGUCUGGAUAUAUAAAAAUAACAGUAUACUAAAGCUUUUCAUAUCACACAGUAACUUUUACAUCUUUACGAUUCAUUAAAGAAAUCCUGUAAAGUGUCACAAACAAUAAGUUAUAACACAUACAGGUGAGAGCCACUGCUGCACUCCCACGCAGACCCACUGCUGCACUCCCACGCAGACCCACUGUACAGUACCCCUCAUGUACAUGUUUAUGGUGUUUUCAAAAGUUACAGAGUCAACUAUAAAGCUUGCGUUUCAGUUUUUUCACAUUGAAAUUCGCCAGAUUGUUGUCCAAGAUUGGCAUUCAAAUUAGUUUUUUGCAUUUUUCACACACAAACAAAUAUUAAUGCUAACUUUGGCCAGUGUUUGUGAUUAAGUGGCUACUAAGAAGACUAGACCUAACCCAUUUGCAAUACCUUGGUUUGUCUAAUAUUGCAAAUGGUAUGCCGUCAUGGGGGUAAUUCUCAUUCCUGAGCUACCAUAGGGUCUCCAAGGCAACGUAACCAAUCUGGCGAAUUUCCAUGUGAGAAAAAUGUAACGUGCUAUAUUUGACCCUGUAACUUCCCAAAACACCAUAAAACCUGUACAUAGGGGGUACUGUUUUACACGUGAGACAUCGCUGAAUACAAAUAUGUAUUUUAUUGCAGUAAAAGCAAACCGUAUUAUGACAUUCACAGUUAGAAUGUCACGUAGAACUUUAAAAAAUGUAAGUCUUAUUUUUUUUCAUAUUUUAUUCAUAUUAAAUUGUUUCAUACCUAAAUAUUUGAUGUUAAAUGAAAGCCCUGUUUCCCCUGAAUAAAAUGAUAUAUAAUAAGUGUGGGUGCACGGUUGAACAGACAUAUAGUCAAAUUCCAGAUUUUGUUUACGUUUUGUUUCGAUCACAAUGUGUACAUUUGGCUCAGUCCUUAAAGGGACACUCCAGGCACCCAGACCAUUUCUGCCCAUUGGAGUGGUCUGGGUGCCAACUCCCACUACCCUCAUGGCCGGUGCAUGGAUUUUUGCCGCCCUAGGCAAAAAUAAAAUUUGCCGCCCCCCCCCCAUAUGUCCUGCCCACCAUGUGACAUCACAAUGCCCCGCCCAUAUGCUCUGCCAUAUGGGCCAACGCCAGUCUUCACAAAGUGUCUUUUAUCUGAAAAGACAGUGUUUAAAUUAAAAAGCCUACAGGCACAGGCUAUAGACACCAGAACCACUACAUUAAGCUGUAGUGCUUCUGGUGACUAUAGUAUCCAUUUAAUGUGAGGUAAAUUAGAGAUUAGUGCCACUAAUAAUAUAUUGGAUUGCCUACUUACCACCAGAUGAGGACAAGAGGCUGAUUAUGGGCUCAGUCUGGCUCCACAGGUCUGGUGUAGAAGAGGCUCUCAGGAGACUGUUUUUAACAGUGCUCACAACAAUUAUCGAUCAGGAAGCAGCUCCAUUUUUUAGGGCCCCUUACACAGCUCAAGGUCUGGGGCCCCGGGGCUUGACCGUGAGUAUGCCUACAAUGCCCACCCACGAGUUCUCUCACAGGUAGUGGAGUGUAUGUGUGGAGGGGAUGUUUUAUGUGUUAUUGUAGAGGAUGCAAUGUGUGUGUGUUCUUAUAGAAUGUAGUGUAUAGGGAUACCAAUUUCUGUAAGGGAUGUAGUUUGCGUGUAAGGAAUGCAUUGUAUGUUUCUGGGUGGGUGUGUGUGUGUCUCUAAGGGGUGCAAGGUGUGUUUCUGUGUAUUUAAUUGAAUGCAGUGUGUGUCUGUAAGGGGUGCAUUGAUUGUGUAAGAGAUGCAUUUUGUGUGUAAGAGAAUGAGUGUUUGUGUGAACGUAAGGGAUGCAUCGGGUGUGUCUGAGUAGGGAUGCAUUGUGUGUUUCUGUGUGUGUGUGUGUUUGGGGGGGGGUGUAUUGUGUAUGUGUGUAGUGUAAAAGAGCGGGUUUGUGGGGUAGGAUAGAGACUGAGAGGGGAGCAGCUCUUUAUUUUUUUCUAUUUUUUUUCAUAGUGCUCUCCCCCCUGUCAAUUUAUUGAUUUCCCCUUCCCUCCUGUCCCUCCGUGUUCUCCCCUUCUGUCCCUUAGUGCUCUCCCUUGGCCCCCUGUAGUCCCCCCUUGGUGGUCUUCUCACUCCUCCCUUCCCCCUUAGUGGCCCUCCCUCUCCCAAACCCGUUAGUAGACAUUCCCCUCCUCCCCCACCCCCUUAGUGGUAAUCUCCCCCCCCCACACGCUGUGUGAGGACCUCAAGCGUCGCUCAAUUUUCAAUGCUUUCCUAUGUGAAGCUCUAAUGCGCAUGCGGGUGUCUCAGGUAAGUGACUGAAGGGGUUUUCUCCCCUUCAGCAACCGGAGGUGGGAGGGAGAGGGGACCUGCAGUGCCAGGAAAACGGAUUGUUUUCCUGGCACUGGAGUUUCCCUUUAAGGGGUUAAUAUAUUGUUAUUGUUUUGUAUGUUUUAUGUUAUGUUUGUUUGUUUUUUUUCCUCUGUGGAUUACUGUCAGUAUGUCUGUGUAGCGGAGAGCUGGUAUUCCACAGGUUAUCUCCACUUAAGAUCCCAGUGAGGCUCAAGAACAAGUAUUAGAAAUCCAUAAGGCAAUAAUUACAGCAGGCAAGACAAUCCAAUAAUAUCCCAACAUCGAUCCCAAUGACCGGACGACACACAGCAUCAGGAGCAGAACUGAACUUUUAAUCACUCAACCUUCUUUUAAAGCUUUCUCCCAUGCAAGGGAGGGAUUUACAGUAAUUAUACAAUACACAAAUCAUAUAUGAGUAGCCGCCCACACAUCUCCUCCCCUAGUAUGACUCAUAAUCCCAUUAUGCAGGACACAUUUCCCCUGAUUUUCUGGAUGUACCCUUAAACAUAGGGGUACUACUUUAAAUAUUACAUCUCCUGGUAGCCCUGAUCUGGGUGAGAAACAUAUUCAAAAAUCACCUAGAUCGGACCAGGGGUUCGGGAAAUUCCUGGAGGUAAUAAAGACAGACCAUGCUGGGGUUAACAGCCGAAAUGGGUUCCAUACGUUUUGGCCCUGUGGUUGGUCACAGAAAAAGGGAACAAAAUGCCCGAACGACUUGGGUUAUGGAGACUGGUGAGGAUUCGGAUAAACCCCCUUGUUCGUGGGGUUCUUUCUACCGAACGGGGAGCCGUUCGGUAGUUUCUACACGAAGGGACGGCAGUGUGGAGGUCUAAGCGGUGUUUGCCUAGCCGAGUGUCAGAUUUGGGUUCCAGACACUCAACGGCAAAACACAGCUGUUCGGGAUUUAAGAUGGCCGCCGCCACGUGUUCGACCCCCGAAUGGCGGCCACCCAGAGGACAAAGCACACACUGCACUGACUGCCAAUUACUCGUUUGCGACAUUGUUGCGAACGGUAAUUGGAGGCACACUUAAUCCUGAGGUGGUCUGAUUGUUAGGUAGUUUCACUAGCAUAAUAACUGGAGUGAUUUUACCGAACAAUCAGUCGAAUGCUGCAUACACUUUACAUACAUAUGGCAAAAAUUAACGGAAAACAUCCGAAUACACAUAAUUCUGAGGACAGCCCAAUGUCAUUCGCUACAGUCUGUGUUUCCAGAUCUAUACUGUUAUGGGAGCUUUGUCUAUAGACAUUUUUACACAUUUUACACAUCUUUGGUCUCGCACUAUUUUACUGUUCUGUUAGGCUGUCGUUCCUCGUUGGCUUGUAAUGGUUGGUUUAUACAGGAUAGAAUUGUACAUUAGAUGUUUACAGACAAUGUGUACAUUAACCUUUUCAAAACUUGGUACAAACUUUUUUGUUUACAUUUUUUUUUUUCAGUAUAGAAAUGUAGCCAACAUAUCCUCUCACCCUCAUUUAUACUCUAUUUAUAAUCACCAGUCUGUAGAGCAACACAUUUAUCUUCUAGAAGUCACUGAUUGAAUGCUCUCACCCCCUGCUUUCAAACAUUAAAGGAAGUUUCAGUGGGUCAUACCAUUCCUACCGUCAGGGAGGGAAGGAGUGAAGUAGCUCUACAAUUUCACUAUCAGCCUUAUAUUAGUGCCUUCCAGAAAUUGAUAAUGAUUCCUAGAGCAGUUUUAAAUACCUUUAUUUUAGAUUUAACCGUAUUUACUGUAUGUGGGCAUUAAGUUUAAUGCAAUACAAUAUAUAUGUGAAAUGUGUUAUAUCUUUAUAUGCGGUAUGCAUCCCUUGCUUCGAAUACAUGGUAUGCUAAUAUUUAUAUUCAUUCAAAAAGUGUUUGGUAGUGAAGAGGUUAAGCGAGUCUUUUCGUAAGGGGAGUGUGUGCACGGUGUGUUUGCUCAGGGGGGGUGUGUGCACAGUGUGUUUGCUCAGGGGGAGUGUGUGCACGGUGUGUUUGCUCAGGGGGAGUGUGUGCGCAGAGUGUUUGCUCAGGGGGAGUGUGUGCGCAGAGUGUUUGCUCAGGGGGAGUGUGUUCGGAGUGUUGGCGCAGGGUGGGCGUGUGUUCGGAGUGUUGGCGCAGGGUGGGCGUGUGUUCGGAGUGUUGGCGCGGGGGGGCGUGUGCGGAGUGUUGGCGCGGGGGGGGCGUGUGCGGAGUGUGGCUACUGGGGAACGUGAAGCGCGGGUGUGUUGGCGCGGGGCGCGUGGGGUGUUGUGCAGGGGAAGCCUUGAGGCUGCGUUGGCUGCGCGGCGCCAGCGCUGGGCGCAGGGCGGCGAGUGUUGGCGCUGGCAGCGGAGUGUUGGCGCUGGGGGCGGGUGGUGCAGAGUGUUGGCGCCGGGGGGAACGUAGGCGCAGGGUGUUGGGGUGGGCGUGUAAGCGGGGUGUUUGUGCAGGGGGAGCGCGGGGUGUUGGCGCGGGUGUUGGCACGGGGGGCGCAUGCGCGGGGUGUUGGCGCGGGGGGCGCGUGCGCGGGGUGUUUGCGCAGGGGGGGCGUGUUGCGGGAGUGUGUACACGGUGUUGUUAUGGAGCUCCCUGUACUCCGACAGAGUACCCUCCGUUGAUGGAUGCUCCUAGCACUUUCUGAAGACUCCAAACACUGCAGCAGACACCACAACCACCGCAGACUCCACAACCGCCGUAGCUUCUGUCCUCCAGGACCGUGUGGGGAAGACCUCUCCUCCAGGAGAGCGUAACAGGCUCUUAAAAGAGCUAAGUGAUUAAAAGCUCAGGGGAAUGUGCAGAGCAUAGCAAUCCCCAGUGUGAUAUAGCAGUUCCCUCCAAUAACGAGACAAAGCUGCGUAUUGAGGGUCAAGAAGAUCUGUUUACUUGGCACCAAAGGGCCUUCUUUUAUGCAGGUUUAACACAUACGGGACCGCCCACAGGGGUUUACAGAACCACCAAUCAUAAACGUACAUUACAGAAACACUCCCAGCAAUUACAUCCAAGAAUCCUCCCCUCUGCCUGUGAUCUAAUUAUGGCACACAGUGCUUAACAUAAUUAUCACAAGCAGGAAAAAUACAGUUUUUAUACAUGUACUAUAUCUUUAAAACUACACAUCCAAUCUUCAUAUUUGGAAUCAGCACACUUUAAAUAUAAACAUAACCAAAAAUCAGCCAAAUCCAUGCAGGGGUUAAAAAGUUAGCUGGAGGUCCCUUUAUUACCGACCGCAAGCACUUUUUCCUGCCCAAAACAGUUCCAUAGAUUUGGGCUGUGCGGCCGGUCUAUUUCAGGCUGAAAAAACGACCAAGUCCCAUCGCCGAAUGUAAAAUCAUUGUGGGAGAAGGUAGGGCUCAGCGGUGUUCGCGGAAAUGUGUGCCGAUUUUAGUUCCAUGAAUUUGGCUACACAUACCGCUGACCUCGUUCGCAUUAACAAAGAUGGCCGCCGCCACGUGUUCGGCAAACGAACAAAGGCCACCCAGCAUUGUUAAUUAAGCUGUGGUUAACUGCAGCUUCUGGGAGGUAAAUUGCCUGCACACUUCCACUUCUGGGUGGUCUGCCUGUGUGGUACUUGGUUCAGUAAGCCCCAUUUACUGAACCAAGUGGGAAAUAGCCAGGCAGGCACAAAGGGUUUGCACCAGGUCUGGGGACACAGAGGACACCGUCUUAAAGGGGCAGUGUCCCAAUCUUCCUGAUGUCCCAAAAGGUGUUUAAAGGGCCAGCACCAGUCCCAUAAAGAGUCCAUAAGCCCCAAUAUGCCCACUGGCUGUCUUAAAGGGCCAUACACACUCAAUAAAGGUGCAUAAGUUCUCACAAUCUCCAAGGGGCCAUAGUCAUGUGGAAGGAGGCUAGCAAAUAGCCUUCUCCACAACCCAGGGAAGCAGGGAAAUUUGCUAUUUAAAGGGCCAGUUACAAAUAGCACUUUGUAACAAGUGUGUUUGCUCAGGGGGAGUGUGUAUGCGGGGUGUCUGUGCAGAGUGGUUGUGCGGGGGGGGGAGGGGGGGUUUUGUGGAGUGUUGGCGCCGGAGAAGUUUAUUUGUGCUGACAGUUGUUGGAUAAUCUCCCAUGUGAUUCACUCCUUUCUGAAUUCUUCCAAUUUAUUUCUUUUUUUCUCUCUCUUCUCCCGGCUUCAUGCUGUUGCUUUUCCAUCCAGGCAUCGCUCAGUCAAAGCUGGAUCUAUUCAGUUGCGUUUGGUAGAUAAGGGGGAACAAUUGGUUGGUUGGGAUCUCAUGUUUGGGGUCCCUGUCCUGUCCUGUCUGGAUUUAUCAAACCUUACCUUAUCUUGGCCUUCUGUCUCCCAUGUCCCAAUACAGACUCUCCCUGGUGGGCAGGUUAGCACUCUCACUCUGCACCUUUCACUCUCCUGGUCUCUAAUCCUUUUAAAAUUUUUAUUUAUUUUUAGAUUGCACUUUUUUAUCCUCUGUCUACAGUCUCUAUGGGGACAACCUUUGUUUUGUCUCGUACUAAAAAUAUAAAACUUCUUGCAGAUUAAAAAAGCUGAAAUGGAUCGGAAGACUCUGGAUUGGGAGAUUGUGGAACUAACCAACAAAUUAUUGGACGCAAAGACCACAAUCAACAAGCUGGAAGAAUUAAAUGUAAAAUGGUCUUCAUAUGUCUUUACAUAUUUUAGGGUGAUAGCGGUAAACUGACAUUGUGUGUUCUCUGCACGUUAGAUGUAAACUAGGAGGUGAUAAUAUCAUUGUAUACAAUGUGGCCCAGUAUUUAUGGGAUAGAAUAUGGUGAGUGGCACAGUGGUCAGCAGGAGAAUGUAGUGAGCAGCCGGUGUUAAUGGGAUAGAAUGUGGCGAGCGGCCCGGUGUGAAUGGGAUAGAAUGUGACGAGCUGGCGGGUGUUAAUGGGAUAGUAUGUGACGAGCUGGCAGGUGUAAAUGGGAUAGAACGUGGCGAGUGGCCCAAUGUUAAUGGGACAGAAUGUGGCGAGUGGCCCAGUGUUAAUGGGAUAAAAUGUGGCGAGUGGCCCGGAGUUAAUGGGAUAGAAUGUGACGAGCUGGCAGGUGUAAGUGGGAUUGAACGUGGCGGGUUGCCUGGUGUUAAUGGGAUAGAAUACGACAAGCGACCCGGUGUUAAUGGGAUAGAAUGUGGCCAGUGGCCGGUGUUAAUGGGAUAGAAUGUGGCCAUUGGCCUGUGUUAAUGGGAUAGAAUGUGGCCAUUGGCCUGUGUUAAUGGGAUAGAAUGUGGCCAUUGGCCUGUGUUAAUGGGAUAGAAUGUGGCCAGUGGCCUGUGUUAAUGGGAUAGAAUGUGACGAGCGACCCGGUGUUAAUGGGAUAAAAUAUGGUGAGUGGCACAGUGGUCGGCAGGAGAAUGUGGUGAGCAGCCGGUGUUAAAGGGAUAGAAUGUGAAGUGACCCAGUGUUAAUGGGAUAGAAUGUGGCGAGCUGGCCGGUGUUAAUGGGAUAGAAUGUGGCGAGCUGGCCGGUGUUAAUGGGAUAGAAUGUGGCGAGCUGGCUGGUUUUAAUGGGAUAGAAUGUGGCGAGCUGGCCGGUGUUAAUGGGAUAGAAUGUGGCGAGCUGGCUGGUUUUAAUGGGAUAGUAUGUGGCGAGUGGCCCGUUGUUAAUGGGAUAGUAUGUGGCGAGCGGCCCAUUGUUAAUGGGAUAGAAUGUGGUGAGCUGGCUGGUUUUAAUGGGAUAGUAUGUGGCGAGUGGCCCGUUGUUAAUGGGAUAGUAUGUGGCGAGCGGCCCAUUGUUAAUGGGAUAGAAUGUGGCGAGCUGGCCGGUGUUAAUGGGAUAGAAUGUGGCGAGCUGGCCGGUGUUAAUGGGAUAGAAUGUGGCGAGCUGGCUGGUUUUAAUGGGAUAGUAUGUGGCGAGUGGCCCGUUGUUAAUGGGAUAGUAUGUGGCGAGCGGCCCAUUGUUAAUGGGAUAGAAUGUGGUGAGCGGCCCGGUGUUAAUGGGAUAGAAUGUGAAGAGCGAUCCCAUGUUAAUGGGAUAGAAUGUGGCGAGCUGGCCGGUAUUCGUGGGAUAGAAUGUGGUGAGCAUCUUGUUGCUCGUGGAUUAGAAUCUGAGUGGCACGGUGUUAAUGGGAAAGAAUGUGACGAGUGGCCGGUGUUAAUGGGAAAGAAUGUGACGAGUGGCCGGUGUUAAUGGGAAAGAAUGUGACGAGUGGCCGGUGUUAAUGGGAAAGAAUGUGACGAGUGGCCGGUGUUAAUGGGAAAGAAUGUGACGAGCGACCCGGUGUUAAUGGGAUAGAAUGUGGUGAGUGGCCCGGUGUUAAUGGGAUAGAAUAUGACUAGCAACCCGGUGUUAAUGGGACAGAAUGUGGUGAGCUGGCCGGUGUUAAUGGGAUAGAAUGUGACGAGCGGCCGAUGUAAUGGGAUAGAAUGUGACGAGCGGCCGAUGUAAUGGGAUAGAAUGUGACGAGCGGCCGAUGUAAGGGGAUAGCUUGUGACGAGCGGCCGAUGUAAAUGGGAUAGAAUGUGACGAGCGGCCGAUGUAAAUGGGAUAGAAUGUGACGAGCGGCCGGUGUAAAUGGGAUAGAAUGUGACGAGCGACCCGGUGUUAAUGGGAUAGAAUAUGACUAGCAACCCGGUGUUAAUGGGAUAGAAUGUGGUGAGCUGGCCGGUGUUAAUGGGAUAGAAUGUGGUGAGCUGGCCGGUGUUAAUGGGAUAGAAUGUGACAAGCGACCCGGUGUUAAUGGGAUAGAAUGUGACGAGCGACCCGGUGUUAAUGGGAUAGAAUGUGGUGAGUGGCCCGGUGUUAAUGGAAUAGAAUGUGACGAGCGGCCGGUGUUAAUGGGAUAGAAUGUGACGAAUGGCCUGGUGUUAAUGGGAUAGAAUGUAGUGAGUGGCCCGGUGUUAAUGGGAUAGAAUGUAGUGAGUGGCCCGGUGUUAAUGGGAAAGAAUGUGGUGAGCUGGCCGGUGUUAAUGGGAUAGAAUGUGACGAGCGACCCGGUGUUAAUGGGAUAGAAUGUGACGACACCCGGUGUUAAUGGAUAGAAUGACGAAGCCACCUCGCUGUUAAUGGAUAGAAUGUGGUGAGUGGCCUGGUGUUACUGGGAUAGAAUGACGGAGUUUAAUCUGGAAGUUAAUGGGAUAGAAUAUGGUCAGUGGCACGCGGUUGGUGCAGGAGAAUGUGGUGAGCGCCGUGUUACUGGGAUAGAAUGCUAAGAGCAAAACCAGUGUUAAUAGCCGGGAUAGUGUAGCCAGCUGGCCGGGUGCACUAUGGAUAGAAUGUGUUGAGCAGCUUUGUUGCUCGUGGAAUAGAAUCUGGUGGAGGGCCCGUGUUAAUGGAAAGAAUGCGAGAGGCCCGUGUUAAUGGGAUAGAAUGGCUGGUAGUGGCUGGUGUCGGGAUAUGGCGCAGCGUCCGCGUUAAUGGGAAAGAAUGCGGUGAGAGGCCCGGUGUUAAUGGGAUAGAAUGUGGCGAGGUGGCUGGUGUUAAUGGGAUAGUAUGUGGCGAGCGGCCCGGUGUUAAUGGGAUAGAAUGUGACGAGCGACCCGGUGUUAAUGGGAUAGAAUGUGACGAGCGACCCGUUGUUAAUGGAUAGAAUGUGGUGAGUGGCCUGGUGUUAAUGGGAUAGAAUGUGACGAGCGACCUGGUGUUAAUGGGAUAGAAUAUGGUCAGUGGCACAGUGGUUGGCAGGAGAAUGUGGUGAGCGGCCGGUGUUAAUGGGAUAGAAUGCGAAGAGCAAACCAGUGUUAAUGGGAUAGUGUAGCGAGCUGGCCGGUAUUCAUGGGAUAGAAUGUGUUGAGCAGCUUGUUGCUCGUGGAAUAGAAUCUGGUGAGUGGCCCGGUGUUAAUGGGAAAGAAUGCGGUGAGAGGCCCGGUGUUAAUGGGAUAGAAUGUGGCGAGGUGGCUGGUGUUAAUGGGAUAGUAUGUGGCGAGCGGCCCGGUGUUAAUGGGAAAGAAUGCGGUGAGAGGCCCGGUGUUAAUGGGAUAGAAUGUGGCGAGGUGGCUGGUGUUAAUGGGAUAGUAUGUGGCGAGCGGCCCGGUGUUAAUGGGAAAGAAUGCGGUGAGAGGCCCGGUGUUAAUGGGAUAGAAUGUGGCGAGCAGCUCGGUGUUAAUGGGAUAGAAUGUGGCAAGCGGGCCGGUAUUCAUGGGAUAGAAUGUGGCAAGUGGCUCGUUGCUCGUGGAAUAGACUGUGGUGAGCAGCUCUGUGUUAAUAGAAUAGAAUGUGGCGAGCUUGCCGAUGUUAAUGGGAUAGAAUAUGGUGAGUGGCACGAUGGUCGGGGGGAGAAUGUGGUGAGCAGCCCGGUGCUCUUGUGGAUGAAUGCAACAAAAAGCCUUUUCUUAGUUACUACUUAUUCCAUAAAUGGUCACUCUCAUUACAGGAACGCUAUCGGCAGGACUGUAACCUAGCUGUUCAGCUACUUAAAUGCAACAAGUCCCAUUUCCGAAACCACAAGUUUGCAGAUGUGAGUAUUAAUAGUUCAUAAAUUUCUCCGAUCAUGCUGUAUUUGUGUAAGGGAAUACUCCAAACCCUUAAAGCACUUUAUGUGCUUGUCUGCUUCCCCACAUCGUUGAUGUGUUUGCUUCUCCCAUAUGUUAGUGUGUGAGUGCUUCCACUCCCUCGCGUUGAUCUGUUGGUUCUUUCCUAUACAGUUGCCGUACAAACUACAGGACAUGGUGAGCAAACACUUUGAAAGCACAGCAUCAUCUCCACGAUCUGGACAGGAGACCCCUCCACCUGGUCUUUCACACUCUGAUGUGGUGCCCAGUUCUAUCAUCGCCCGUGUACUAGAAAAGCCAGAGUCGCUCAUCCUAAACUCUGCCACAUCUAGCAGUGGCAGCGGCCCCACUGCAGAGGAUGUUUUUGUGCAUGUGGACAUGAGUUGCCCAGGUGAGAGGGUGGAGGAGAGCAGGCAGCAAAAUGGGGGUCUCCAACAGCAGAGUAGUGUAGAUAGCACCUCUGAGGACCCUCCUACUUUUGAGAAACUGAGCCCGUACCCCACACCACCCCCACCACAUCCCAUGUACCCUGGCCGCAAGGUGAUAGAGUUCUCAGAUGAAAAGGUGCGAAUCCCCAAAAAUAGCCCACUACCCAACUGUACCUAUGCCACCCGGCAAGCAAUCUCCCUUAGCCUUGUGCAGGGUGAGGAGGGCAGUCCAGACAGGCAUCGCACAGUUCCCAAUAGCCCAGCGUCUGCAGCAAACUACCCACAGCGGGCACGGAGUGCAGAUAUCCCUGCCCGAUCUCCUCUUAGUAGUGCAGUUGCCAGCUCUGCGAGCUCUGAAGAGGACAUGUUGGCAAACUGGCAAAAAAUGUUUGUGGAAAAGGCGGCACCCAGCACGGAGAGGUCCCUGGCACAUCGCACUUCCUUCAGCAGGGACACAGCUCUGGAACUGCAACAAAGAUUCAGCCAAUCUAUGCAGGAACUCAGCCGGGCCGCUCAAGCUUACUCAGACAGGGAAAGCUCAGGGCUUGGAUGGAGCAGCAGCCGAGAUGCUGAGGUUGUUGGGGCCCGGAGAGGGCCUCUACCAAAUGAGUAUGGGAAGGAAUUCUCCCAAGAGGAAGCACAGGACCUUCUGUCUGGAGCAGUGGAGGAAGAGGAAGAAGCCGCUGAGCAGCAGGUCCUCUCGGAGGAGGCAGAUCAGGAGACCGUGAUAGAGGACGACAUUGGGGAGACAUAUAUACCACCGGAGGAUUAUGUGCAGAAAAACCCCCUUCUGGACGCCCACAUCGGAGUCCAAAAAGAAUGGGUGUGCAUCACCUCCACAGGAAGGACAGUCUGACCCGGGCACAGGAACAGGGAAACCUACUGAACUAAUGAUGGGGAGGGCUGGGCAUACACAGGGCUGGUACCCCUUCCCGACUCUCCAGUCAGUAUAUGCAAAACUCCAUUUCCACCACUGUCUCAAGCUCUACAGGAGAUGGGUAACCAGAGUGUCCAGGCAGUGCAUCACUGCCUUAACUGCAACAGGCUGGUUUCCAUGAAACAAAGUAAAUCUGUAUUGUGUAGUUUGGUUUUAUUUGGGUUUGUUUGAUCAGCUCUUUGUGUGGGAAGCUAAAUAUGUUCUAGUUUGUUUGUAGCCCAUAAGGAAUAGUCUUUAUUUGGCACUCCUGCUAUUCUCAGCAAGCCUUAAAACCUCAAUCUGUUCUUCUUAGCAGAUGUUUCCACCUUAGCCUCCCUCCACAUCUGUCUGAGGUUGCCAUAAUUAUUGCCAGUGGCCAGUGAUAUACCACUAUAUAAACAUGAAAUCUGCCUUGUUCCAAAGUUUGUGACGUUUACAAGGACCCAAUGAACGCCUUCUCUUCCAGUCCCUGGUGGAAGUGAUAGGAAUACAUGUCUUCUGAUCUGUAGGUUUCUGAGAGUUAGUCCUUCAUCGUUUCCUCCUCCAACUGUUGGCAUCCCCUACCUCGCGCUCAGACUGAUCAGGGCGGUCUCUGACUGUUUGAAGAAUGUCCUCUGCUCCUGCUAGGAGAUCAUGUAAAUGGCAACCAUCCUUAAGGUCCCUGUGCGUCUCCCCCGUGUAAUGGAGCCGUUCUCAGACAGUAAUGUCUCCUCUCUGAGUGUUUUGUUUCUCUGUGAUGGUGGCACACGCAGGGAAUCUCAUUUUGUGUUUUUCUCUGUUUUGGUUUGUUGUGUGUUUUAAAAUGUGUUCAGAGAUAUUUGUUGUCCCAAACAGAGGGUUUUUAAUCCCAUCAUAUCUCUCAUCACAUGUACUUUUCCAACCCUUGCAUCUGCUUCUCGGCACCAUUCUCUCACCUUGCUUUCCCACUAUUCCCCUCCCGUAACAGCUUUUCUGCAUUUAUCACAGGAAACCAUAUUACUUCCAUAUAUUACAGCUCCUCCCUUUGCCAUUUCAGCACUCCAUACAUUUCUGCUUACUCCCUUAUCCCCAUUAUCACAGAGCUUCUAGGGUCCCCCAUAUCUUACAGCAUCACCACCAUAAUCACAGAGCUCUACGUUCACCCACACCUUACAGCUUCACCCCAAAAAAUCACGUCUCUAGAUUUAUCUACACCUUACAGCUUCACCCCAAAAAAAUCAGAUCUCUAGGUUUCUCCACACCUUACAGCUUCACCCCAAAAAAAUCAGAUCUCUAGGUUUCUCCACACCUUACAGCUUCACCCCAAAAAAAUCAGAUCUCUAGGUUUCUCCACACCUUACAGCUUCACCCCCAAAAAAUCAGAUCUCUAGGUUUCUCCACACCUUACAGCUUCACCCCAAAAAAAUCAGAUCUCUAGGUUUCUCCACACCUUACAGCUUCACCCCCAAAAAAUCAGAUCUCUAGGUUUCUCCACACCUUACAGCUUCACCCCAAAAAAAUCAGAUCUCUAGGUUUCUCCACACCUUACAGCUUCACCCCCAAAAAAUCAGAUCUCUAGGUUUCUCCACACCUUACAGCUUCACCCCCAAAAAAUCAGAUCUCUAGGUUUCUCCACACCUUACAGCUUCACCCCCAAAAAAUCAGAUCUCUAGGUUUCUCCACACCUUACAGCUUCACCCCCAUAAUCAGAGCUCAAGGUUCCCCCAAACCUUACAGCUUCACCCCCAAAAAAUCAGAUCUCUAGGUUUCUCCACACCUUACAGCUUCACCCCCAAAAAAAUCACAUCUCUGAAUUUAUCUACACCUUACAGCUUCACCCCAAAAAAAUCAGAUCUCAAGGUUCCCCCAAACCUUACAGCUUCACCCCAAAAAUUAGAUCUCUAGGUUCUGCCACACCUUACAGCUUCACCCCAAAAAUCAGAUCUCUAGGUUCUGCCACACCUUAAAGCUUCACCCCCCCAUAAUCAGAGCUCUAGGUUCUGCCACACCUUACAGCUUCACCCCCACAUAAACAGAGCUCUAGGUUACCCCACAUCUUACAGCUUCACCCCCAUAAUGACAGAGCUCUGGGUUCCCCUCACACCUUACAGCUUCACCCCAAAAAAACAGAUUUCUAGGUUCCCCCACACAUUACAGCUUCACCCCCCAUAAUCACAGAGCUCUAGGUUCCCCCACACAUUACAGCUUCACCCCCAUAAUCACAGAGCUCUAGGUUCCCCCACACAUUACAGCUUCACCCCCCAUAAUCACAGAGCUCUAGGUUCCCCCACACAUUACAGCUUCACCCCCCAUAAUCACAGAGCUCUAGGUUCCCCCACACAUUACAGCUUCACCCCCAUAAUCACAGAGCUCUAGGUUCACCCCCCAUAAUCAGAGCUCUAGGUUCCCCCACACAUUACAGCUUCACCCCCAUAAUCACAGAGCUCUAGGUUCACCCCCCAUAAUCACAGAGCUCUAGGUUCCUCCACACAUUACAGCUUCACCCCCCAUAAUCACAGAGCUCUAGGUUACCCCACACAUUACAGCUUCACCCCCAUAAUCACAGAGCUCUAGGUUCCCCCACACAUUAGAGCUGAUUUCUCUUCUUGACCUUUAUUUACUAGUCUGUCAUACAGAGUGUCCUCCUUUCCAUGUCAUUCACUCCCAGUUUAUUCUGUUUGUCCAUCUAAUUAUAUAAAUAUAUAUUUUUGUAUCCUGCACAGUAUUAUGUUACAAUGUGUCUGGCCUCUCCACCUUCUGAUCUCAGACUGUUAAUCUUAGAUUUAUUUUCUGACAUUUUUCAAAACUGAUGUCUAUUUUCCGAAAUAAAUAAACUAUUUUAAAAGUAA